rnacentral:RNase_P_RNA from 13 species
AAGGAAUUAUAAGACGAAAUACAAGAGCAAAAAAUGGAGUUGGAAGUCCCAAAAUCUCUGUUGGUGAUUUUUGUCUCCCUUUUCUUCUUUUUCCUUUCUCUUUUGCUCAAGUCCUUCGAAGUGUUCCAAGAAGAGACUGGGAUUGGUGGGGUCAUUUCAGCACAAAAGGAGUAAAAGGAUAUGACAAUGAUUUCCGAUAUUU